ACGCACGCUGGCGGCAUGCCUAACCCCUGCCAGUCGAACGAGACCUUCGGGUCUAGUGGCGCACGGGUGCGUAACGCGUGGGAACCUGCCCUUAGGUUCGGAAUAACUCCCCGAAAGGGGUGCUAAUACCGGAUAAUGUCUUCGGACCAAAGAUUUAUCGCCUUUGGAUGGGCCCGCGUUGGAUUAGCUAGUUGGUAGGGUAAAAGCCUACCAAGGCGACGAUCCAUAGCUGGUCUGAGAGGAUGAUCAGCCACACUGGGACUGAGACACGGCCCAGACUCCUACGGGAGGCAGCAGUGGGGAAUAUUGGACAAUGGGCGAAAGCCUGAUCCAGCAAUGCCGCGUGAGUGAUGAAGGCCUUAGGGUUGUAAAGCUCUUUUACCCGGGAUGAUAAUGACAGUACCGGGAGAAUAAGCUCCGGCUAACUCCAUG
rnacentral:rRNA from 1 species